CUACGGGUUGCAGCAGUGGGGAAUAUUGCACAAUGGGCGAAAGCCUGAUGCAGCAACGCCGCGUGAGGGACGACGGCCUUCGGGUUGUAAACCUCUUUUAGCAGGGAAGAAGCGAAAGUGACGGUACCUGCAGAAAAAGCACCGGCUAACUACGUGCCAGCAGCCGCGGUAAUACGUAGGGUGCAAGCGUUGUCCGGAAUUAUUGGGCGUAAAGAGCUCGUAGGCGGUUUGUCGCGUCUGCUGUGAAAAUCCGAGGCUCAACCUCGGACCUGCAGUGGGUACGGGCAAACUAGAGUGCGGUAGGGGAGAUUGGAAUUCCUGGUGUAGCGGUGGAGUGCGCAGAUAUCAGGAGGAACACCAAUGGCGAAGGCAGAUCUCUGGGCCGUAACUGACGCUGAGGAGCGAAAGCGUGGGGAGCGAACAGGAUUAGAUACCCUGGUAGUC
rnacentral:rRNA from 1 species